rnacentral:lncRNA from 1 species
AAAAUACUUAAUAUUUCAAAGUAACAAUAGAAACCUAUAACCUAUUAACAUAAAUAUAUUUUUAUAACAGCAGUAUUUUGCAAAGGAAAAACACAUUCAGCGGGAGAAAUGGCAUUGUUUUACAUCUCGCCAACCUCUAUGAUGUCUGGCCUAACAAAAGGCAGUUGGAUUCAACAAUCUGCUUCUGCAUUGACACAUUGCAACGUGUUGUUUUGUUGAAGUACGUAGAUGAAGAAGACCCUGCCUCACACGAUACGUGGUUGGAAAAGGAAGGACCUGGCAUCACUCUCCAAAAGAUCUCUGGGUCACAGCGAUCCUCUGUCUACACUUUGAGAAUCACUGACUAUACAGAAUCCCCACAAGCACCUGCUUCCAACGGCCUUGGAGAAGAGUUUGGCACAUCCCAGAAAGCUUCCCACAGAGCCAGCGCUUAAGGUAGACGGGAGUCACACACAGGGCUCAAGCUGAAAUUCAGAACAUCCUAAGGGGAACUUUGCAGGAGGCCGCUCCCCCUGCCCCAACACCAUAGCCCUCCGGUGCAGAAGUAACUUCAGUGUGCAUGGGCCAAACCGCCACAGGUGGUACUUCUGCUUCUAUUCAAAUGCAGUUUUUCUUUGAAGGAGAACAAAGUAGAUCUGAAUAAAAGCCCUA